UUAUAUUCCUUUUUAUCAAAAGAUAAAAAGGGAAAGAUUUAUUGGUAAGAGAUUAGCCUGUAUUGUAUCAGUUAGUUGGUGGGGUAAUGGCCUACCAAGACGAUGACGCAUAACUGGUUUGAGAGGAUGAUCAGUCACACUGGAACUGAGACACGGUCCAGACUCCUACGGGAGGCAGCAGUGGGGAAUAUUGCACAAUGGACGAAAGUCUGAUGCAGCAACGCCGCGUGGAGGAUGACACAUUUCGGUGCGUAAACUCCUUUUAUAUAAGAAGAUAAUGACGGUAUUAUAUGAAUAAGCACCGGCUAACUCCGUGCCAGCAGCCGCGGUAAUACGGAGGGUGCAAGCGUUACUCGGAAUCACUGGGCGUAAAGAGCGUGUAGGCGGAUUGAUAAGUUUGAAGUGAAAUCCUAUAGCUUAACUAUAGAACUGCUUUGAAAACUGUUAAUCUAGAAUGUGGGAGAGGUAGAUGGAAUUUCUGGUGUAGGGGUAAAAUCCGUAGAGAUCAGAAGGAAUACCGAUUGCGAAGGCGAUCUACUGGAACAAUAUUGACGCUGAGACGCGAAAGCGUGGGGAGCAAACAGGAUUAGAUACCCUGGUAGUCCACGCCCUAAACGAUGUACACUAGUUGUUGUGAGGCUCGACCUUGCAGUAAUGCAGUUAACACAUUAAGUGUACCGCCUGGGGAGUACGGUCGCAAGAUUAAAACUCAAAGGAAUAGACGGGGACCCGCACAAGCGGUGGAGCAUGUGGUUUAAUUCGACGAUACACGAAGAACCUUACCUGGACUUGACAUAGUAAGAAUGAUUUAGAGAUAGAUUAGUGUCUGCUUGCAGAAACUUGCAUACAGGUGCUGCACGGCUGUCGUCAGCUCGUGUCGUGAGAUGUUGGGUUAAGUCCCGCAACGAGCGCAACCCUCGUCCUUAGUUGCUAACAGUUCGGCUGAGAACUCUAAGGAGACUGCCUACGCAAGUAGGAGGAAGGUGAGGAUGACGUCAAGUCAUCAUGGCCCUUACGUCCAGGGCUACACACGUGCUACAAUGGGGUAUACAAAGAGCAGCAAUACGGUGACGUGGAGCAAAUCUCAAAAAUGCCUCCCAGUUCGGAUUGUAGUCUGCAACUCGACUACAUGAAGUUGGAAUCGCUAGUAAUC
rnacentral:rRNA from 1 species